AUUUUUACCCUCUGUUUUACGCAUGAGCCAAGUGAGGCUCAGAGAAGCCCAGUCAUUUGCCUAAAGGCACACAGCCAGCAGAACCAGGACUCAAACCUAGACUUAACUCUAGAGCCUAUGCUUUCAGCUGCUGUAUUGUAUGUUCUGGCCUUCUUCUAGCAGCGGUGCUCUACCAUUGCUAGACCCUUGCAGUGAGCGCCUCAUGACCUUUCCCUACGGGUGUCCAUUCACAGGAUGGGUGCCAGGCCUGAGGCCUGCAUAUAGCAGGCCUUUCUGUUUCUGAGAAGUUUGAGUUUGAGGACCCAUCUCACCAAUAGCCUGGGGCGGACACUGAGGACCUCUGGGUGGGGGUGUGCAGACAAGGCAGAUAAUAAUCAAGAUAUCCAAGAAUGACAAGGAGCAUUUACUGAAUAGGUCCCAAGAGCUGGGCCCUGAGCCUAACACUUUUCUUUCUUUUUAUAAAUAGAACUUCAGGUGGAUAAACAUUGAGUUAAUCCUAAUCCUUGCUUCAUGAGACACUGUUGUCAUUAGUUCAAACAUGCUCCACUUUUAUGUAGUUAUUGACUUAUGGAAUCAGUCAUUUUGCUAAUGUAGGAAGCACCCACAAAUCUACCAUUCACGGCAAACGCCAGGGUCUGGAUUGUAGCUGAUAUAUAACUAUGAUCCCAUGUUUUUGCCUCCCUUACCUGGGCUGAUUGCCAUCCUGAAUGCUCUAUUUGUCACAGUCUCGCUUUUCCUUCUGUUUAGUGCUAGUGCAACGAGGUACGCCCACAAAUUAAAAAAAAAAAAAUCUGUGGUUGUUUUUAACCUUAUUAAAAGGGUAUAGCAUUGUAGGUAAUCCUUUGCGACUUUUUCUUUACUAUUAUACUACCAAGAUUGACCCAUAUUGCUGUCUGUCGUGUUCGUUCAUUGUGUUGUAUGAUAUUCCAUUAUGGGAAUGUUCUCUAUGGCCGCCACUCUGUGCCUGUUACUUCAUCCAAUCUUUGCGACAGCCAUAUAUGGUAGGAGCUCUUCUUAUCCCAGUUUUACUGAGAAGAAACUGAGGCCUAGAGAGGCUAAGGAACUCUCUGGAGGUCACAAGGGCCAGGUAGGAAUUGUUCUGGCUUCUCACUGUCCACUGUGUUUUUGGUAUAGAGGAGAAAACACAGAAUCUAGAGCCACAAGCCCAGGGCUCCAGCCCCAGCUCCACACUUCCUGGCUGUGUGGCCUUAGAUGAGUUGCUUCAUGUUUCAGAGUCUCAAUUUCCUUGACGUUAAACUGGACUAAUGACAACUGCCUUUCUCUACCUCUCAGGUCUGUUGUGAGACUCAAGUCUGACACUGUGAAAAGUGGGAGCCCUGAAGUUUUCUCAGUCAGCAGACUGUGACUGAUCGUAUCUAUGCUAUCUGCUCCCCCUCUUCCCAAACAACAGAACUCUGCAGGAUUCAAGAGAUGUGACUGAACAGCCCUCCCGCUCAGAAGGCCAAGGAUGAGGCUGACAGCUCAGAGAAGCCUCUGCCUGUGAAGGAACCAGAAAAGCACCUGUAGCUGCCAUCAGGCUGCACUAUUGGGAACACAGAUGGACAGAAGCCAGGAGCCAGAGGGAAAGUGGUACGGACGGAACUGGGACUCCAUUCGAAUUCAUUAAGAGCCCCUGGGGUUCAGGGACCCUGAGCCCCCCCUCUGUAACCCCUCAGUGCUGCACCUGGUUGCUGGCUGGCGGUGAGGAAACACGAUCAGUCUCUCUGGCUUCUCGGCACACUCCUAGAUCAGUUUUCUUCGGGGUUCAAGUAGAGCUAAAAAAAAAACACUUCCCCUUGGUUUCGUAUCAGCUGCAUCUGCUCUCAGAAAACCCUUCAACAAGAAUGGGCAGGAAGAAUAAAUAUUUAUUCUACAAAUGAAUAAAUCUGAUUCCAUCUUCAAAAGAAAGCUGCAGCAUAAAUUAUCAUAAUUUCUCCAGUCUAAGAUGGCACUGAUUUAAAGAUGUUUUUAUCUGUUGAAUAACAGCUUUUUGGGGGAAAAAACAAACAGAAAAGUAACUAAUUGAUCUACCAACUGUAAGAUAUAUUCUCAUUUUUAA